rnacentral:rRNA from 1 species
UAGGGAAUCUUCGGCAAUGGACGAAAGUCUGACCGAGCAACGCCGCGUGAGUGAAGAAGGUUUUCGGAUCGUAAAACUCUGUUGUUAGAGAAGAACAAGGACGUUAGUAACUGAACGUCCCCUGACGGUAUCUAACCAGAAAGCCACGGCUAACUACGUGCCAGCAGCCGCGGUAAUACGUAGGUGGCAAGCGUUGUCCGGAUUUAUUGGGCGUAAAGCGAGCGCAGGCGGUUUCUUAAGUCUGAUGUGAAAGCCCCCGGCUCAACCGGGGAGGGUUAUUGGAAACUGGGAGACUUGAGUGCAGAAGAGGAGAGUGGAAUUCCAUGUGUAGCGGUGAAAUGCGUAGAUAUAUGGGGGAACACCAGUGGCGAAGGCGGCUCUCUGGUCUGUAACUGACGCUGAGGCUCGAAAGCGUGGGGAGCAAACAGG